AGCGAACGCUGGCGGCAGGCCUAACACAUGCAAGUCGAGCGGGCACUUCGGGGUUAGUGGCAGACGGGUGAGUAACACGUGGGAACGUACCCUUCGGUUCGGAAUAACGCUGGGAAACUAGCGCUAAUACCGGAUACUCUCUUUUGGGCAAAGGUUUACUGCCUAAGGAUGGGCCCGCGUCUGAUUAGCUAGUUGGUGGGGUAAUGGCCUACCAAGGCGACGAUCAGUAGCUGGUCUGAGAGGAUGAUCAGCCACACUGGGACUGAGACACGGCCCAGACUCCUACGGGAGGCAGCAGUGGGGAAUAUUGGACAAUGGGCGCAAGCCUGAUCCAGCCAUGCCGCGUGAGUGAUGAAGGCCUUAGGGUUGUAAAGCUCUUUUGUCCGGGACGAUAAUGACGGUACCGGAAGAAUAAGCCCCGGCUAACUUCGUG
rnacentral:rRNA from 1 species